rnacentral:misc_RNA from 1 species
AAAAUUGAUAAGAUUCCCAAAUGAAAUAUAUUUUUACAUCUGUAAAUUGGAUACAGAUAAGAAUUUUUCCACAAUAGAUACAAGAUGAAAGAUUUUAUAUUUGUUUCAAUUCUUCUCCCUCUCUUUUUAACAAUAAAAAAAGAAAUAAAAUAUGAAAUUUAACAUUUUCUUUUAUGCUUAUACAUCCAUGUGACGUGAGGGAGGCAGACAACAUAGAGCGAAGAAAAGAGUGUACAAAAAACAUUAAACGGAACUUGGAGGGAACCUUUUGACUUGAGGGCUCUUUAACAAAAGCCAUUCACAUAAACACGUAUCCAUGGGAAUUAAACUUUAUUUUCAUUUGGGUGAAGAUCAUCAUUUGAAGUUUCCAAGCUUUUCUCAUUAUGAUCCUCCUCCUCCUCCUUCUUCUUCCUCUUGCAAUACUUCAUGGAUAUCCAAAAAAAGUGUCUCAAGAGAACUAGAAGUUGGUCUUGCUCUGUACUCCAUUUUGCUUAGAUCAAACCGAAAGAAACCAAAGAUUGUAAUCCGUUGGUUAAAUGAUACAAAAUAGAGUGCAUGCUUCCUUUUGUGCCCACAUGCGUAAGGGACAUCACGAG